GCAGGGCCCCCGCAUGGGGGGGGUGGGGGAAAAAGGUACUACAGUACCGGGGCCCGGCAGUCCAGGGGUCCCGGGCCCGUGAUAGCAACCUGAAUUUGAUAGUUGAAAAAAGAAAAGGCCAAAUACUAAAGGGGCAGCUUAAAGAAAAGUACCGCCAGUAAAACUGAAAAAAAAAAAAAAAAAAAAAAAA